rnacentral:rRNA from 1 species
UACGUAGGGUGCAAGCGUUAAUCGGAAUUACUGGGCGUAAAGCGCACGUAGGCGGAUUGCUAAGUCAGGGGUGAAAUCCUGGAGCUCAACUCCAGAACUGCCUUUGAUACUGGCGACCUUGAGUCCGGGAGAGGUGAGUGGAACUGCGAGUGUAGAGGUGAAAUUCGUAGAUAUUCGCAAGAACACCAGUGGCGAAGGCGGCUCACUGGCCCGGUACUGACGCUGAGGUGCGAAAGCGUGGGGAGCGAACAGG